CCACUUGAGUUAGAUGCACUUUUUAUGAUUGAGCAAAAUCUUUGUAGGAUAUAAAACAUAUUGCGAAAUGACGUAUUGUUUUGAUGUCGAGAGAAAAUAUUAUGCGCAUACAAUUACACAGACAAAAAUAUAAACAGCAUAUAACUGCAAUCAAAGAAUUCAAUUCAAUAGAAAUGAUUAGCUCAGAUUGUUUCGUAGAUAUAGCUGGAGCACCGAAUAAACAGGAAGAUGGUGGAAGAAACCAGGGAUUGGCAGAUGUAUUGAAAAUUUGGUGGGAUUGGACUUAUAAAGGGGAGAAAACCUAGAUAUUCCGAGAAAGGCUUUGUGGUGGUAUUAAUUAAUUUUAUCCUUACACAUACUUCCAUAGGAAAGAGACAACGGUGAUUUUUCAGUUUUCUUUAUGUUUGAAAAAAAGGCUUUCGUCCCCGACAUGAACGUGAUAUCUCCUUAGCGGUAUGGAAAUAAAUGGACGAUGGGGUUUGUAUGUAGGAUUGAUUCAAUUUUUGUCACGCAAGUCAAUCAUUCGAGAGUUCGUUUCGUUGCUUGAAGAAGAUUGACAAAAAUACCACAAACUAACUCAUACCAAUCAAUAAUUCAACCACACAUCUAAUCAUUAAAUGUUCUCAAUGAAAGUGUAGCAUCUUUAUUACUGGACAGAGUAGUCAAUAUAGUCAGUUGGGAAAAUGACCAAAAGACUAAAAUAAAGCCAGUGUUUCAAUCUAAAAACACGAUACGUAGUAUACUUUCUAGACAAUCAAUGUAACUUAAGAUGUCUAGAGAAUCAAAUUAAGCCUAUGAAAUCCCGUAAAAAUAUUGCGGUGUUUAUGUCGGUGAAACAAUGCAAUAAGUCAAACAACAGGUGCACAUGCGCGAAAGGGCCGUACGGAAUGCACUAAAGGUCUUCAAAAAUCUGUUUUUAGAAAUAAAAUAUUAUUACACAGGAUAUUCAGUAAACGAUUUUAACAUUCCAAAAACAUUACUAGUGACCAUUGGAUACUCACUAUCUUAUCGUAGACCAUUGUUAUAGAACACAAUGUUAGAAGAAGCCAAAAAAAUCUAUUUGCUUGUUGACGCAUUUUAAGAAAACCACAAAAUAUUUCUUGUUGAUCAAUGAUCUAGAUUAUUUGCGAUAUUUUUAGUAUUACAAUCUUGUAAUUUUUUAAAACUGUAUAGGAAUUGUAAAUACUUUUUCUUUACAUUAUUCUCACCUCUCUCUUUAAUUCAUCUAACUAUAAUUGGGGCUUGAUGAUAAGACAAAAUAUGUAUUCUACUUGCUCCACUCAUUACUUGAUUGUAAAACCGAAAAAUAUAUGUAAAUUUUUUUAUUCUGACGAAAUAGAUCCAUACAUACAAACGAAUGCAGACAAUAAUAAGAUAACGAACCAUAACUAAUUAAUUAAACAAUAACGACGGAUUAAUUUCAACGUUCACAUUGGAAAAAGGAAAAAGCUUAUUCGCCAAUUUUUUUCUCGACAUUACAGUUUUUCCCUCUAGCACAACUUUAUUGACGCAAACAAAGUUAACCCAGGGUAAAAAUAAAUGAGCCCUGGGACAAGAAUUGUUAAAUUAAAAAAUUAAAAAAAAAACACACGCUGUGAGAAAUUAUAAUACAAAUUACCCUUAUCUCUUGAAACAAUUAUAAUUAAUUACACCCUUCUGCACGGGGCUUUGUGCAGUGCAUUGCUACAUACCCCCCGCAUAACAAGAUUGUUGAGCUGAGAUGGAGCACACAAAAGUUUAUUACAAUCUGAGUUUUUGAUUCAAAAGCAAGAGUUGGUUGAAUAGAAAAGCUUAAGAAAAAAAAUUGACCAAGAUUCAAAUAACUUACCGAGAUCCAGUAACUUCACAAAAAUGGUUGCUACGCUAGCUGUGAUUGCUAUUGUAAUAUUGGGAGCGGCGGCGGCUGGUGUCAUCUCACUUGAUCUGUACUUGAUAUCCAAAGAUGACGGUUACUUGAAAAAGAAUGACGACCUGGACGACCAAACGCGCAUUCUUUUGGCGAGAUCAUUCUCCCCUUAUAUAUAAACAAACUGGAAAUGGCGAAACAAUAAGUUGAAAAAAAAAUUUAAAGUAAUUAUCUUACUAAACAUUUUUUAUGUAGAUUUUAGAUUCACUUUGUAUAUUAGGCGAUUUGCAGUGUCCAUUACCUUCCUCUUUAUAAAAUCGAAGCGUUGUUAUGCAUUCUGUCGCGAUUGUAGCACACGCUAAUUUUAUAUACAUUUUCGAUAAUCUGUCUAUCGAUACAUAAUUCCUAAGUUUGUUAAAAAAAAUAUUUUGAGACACAACCAUUUUUUUUUAUAACAUCCGCUGUAAAUAUAUUAUACAAUAUUUUACGUCUGUUGUAUUAAAAAAUUUUAAGGCAUGAAAUGACUCGAUUAUUUGGAGACUCACUUGCCUUCAUGCACCAUUUUGUUUUGUAACUUAAAACAAUUUUAAAAAAGUUUUUUUUUUCUUAUCCUA